rnacentral:rRNA from 1 species
AUUGAACGCUGGCGGCAUGCCUUACACAUGCAAGUCGAACGGCAGCAUGAUCUAGCUUGCUAGGUUGAUGGCGAGUGGCGAACGGGUGAGUAAUACAUCGGAACGUGCCCUGUAGUGGGGGAUAACUAGUCGAAAGAUUAGCUAAUACCGCAUACGACCUGAGGGUGAAAGUGGGGGACCGCAAGGCCUCAUGCUAUAGGAGCGGCCGAUGUCUGAUUAGCUAGUUGGUGAGGUAAAGGCUCACCAAGGCGACGAUCAGUAGCUGGUCUGAGAGGACGAUCAGCCACACUGGGACUGAGACACGGCCCAGACUCCUACGGGAGGCGGCAGUGGGGAAUUUUGGACAAUGGGGGCAACCCUGAUCCAGCAAUGCCGCGUGUGUGAAGAAGGCCUUCGGGUUGUAAAGCACUUUUGUCCGGAAAGAAAUCGCACUUACUAAUAUUAGGUGUGGAUGACGGUACCGGAAGAAUAAGGACCGGCUAACUACGUGCCAGCCGCCGCCGUAAAAC